GACGAACGCUGGCGGCGUGCUUAACACAUGCAAGUCGAACGGAAAGGCCCCUUUGGGGGUACUCGAGUGGCGAACGGGUGCGUAACACGUGAGUAACCUGCCCUUGACUUCGGGAUAACUUCAGGAAACUGGGGCUAAUACCGGAUAGGAAUCCUUGCUGCAUGGUGGGGGUUGGAAAGCUUCGGCGGUUUUGGAUGGACUCGCGGCUUAUCAGCUUGUUGGUGGGGUAGUGGCUUACCAAGGCUUUGACGGGUAGCCGGCCUGAGAGGGCGACCGGCCACAUUGGGACUGAGAUACGGCCCAGACUCCUACGGGAGGCAGCAGUGGGGAAUAUUGCACAAUGGGCGGAAGCCUGAUGCAGCAACGCCGCGGGCGGGAUGACGGCCUUCGGGUUGUAAACCGCUUUCAGCAGGGGCGAAGCUUGUGGUGACGGUACCUGCAGAAGAAGCACCGGCUAACUACGUG
rnacentral:rRNA from 1 species